UUCGCAUUGACCAAUCAAAUCACGUUCUGAGUUGGAUUAUCCCAGGGCUUCUGAGAGCAAUAAGCGCAGAAGCCCUGGGUACGAGGUUGAGGAUGGACGCAAAUGAACAUUGCGAUAAUUACCAAAUGCUAGCCGGAAAAUUGACCAAAUCAGCCAAAGAUGCCUGCCAAAGCCAGCCGAGUAAAGGCCUAGGUCUAGGCUGAGUUGAACCAUUUCUACUUGAACUGAUUGUAUGAGUAAUUUGUAAUUUGACCAUUUUUGUGUAGUUAUUCUCUUUUAUGUUAUUAGAAGCUAUUUUAAUUUCCCAGGAGCAGAAAAUCUUGUGCUUAACAUAAGGAUAUUUUAAUUUCAUACAUGCACCAUGUAUUCAAGCAGCUAAUUAAGUAUGUUUGUGAAAUACAAUACAACGAAAACUUCGAGGAAUUUGUUUGCUUAGCUUCAAGUUUCAAUUUGUGUGAUGACUUUGAACAGGUAAAUCGACGUUUUCGUUGUGUUUUAUUUGUGUUUUAUUAUCUAUUAAAGGGCCUCAGUAAUUGGUACCGUACUGUUGUGGUGACCCUGCCAUGAAUGCAUGAUAAUGGCGAAGUUAAAUAAAUAAAUAAAUAAAUGUCAAUAUUUUACAUAACCGUAGGUUCAGCAUAGACAUAGUGCUAAGACAUUAAUUCAAAUUACAACAAUAGGAUAAUUUCUUAAGGUCUAGUCCUCUUUUUAAGACACUCUAUAGACGCUUUGAAAUUAAAGGAUUGAAGUUUGUUGAGUUUCCAUGUCUCGAUUGACUGACUAAUUAAAACCGUUAUGUAACCGAUUAUUAAACUCAUUCGUGUACUGACCACGUUAUCCC